GAUUUUGAAGACGUUGUAGUUGAAGAAAAGAUAGAUCAAGGGAGUGUAUUAUCACUUUUUUGGAACUAUUUUGUCAUGCGAUAUGAACUACUAAGUUGAAGAUCAAGGUGGAAUUCGCUGAUAUUAUUCUGGUGAUAUAUUAUAUUCGGAAGGAUAUCCUUAUUUAAACCAGAGGUUAUGGCUGAAAUGCCCCAGCUUUUGAAUGGUUAUCACGACAACCACCACCGUUGCUAGCUUUUCAUAAAUCCAAAUCAUGAA